CAGAGAUCUGCCUCCGCUGGAAUGCUUGCCUAGAACACAGGCCGCCCUGGGUUCCAUCCCCGGGACUGGAUAAAACCAGGCAUGACAGUCACACCUAUGAUCCCAGCAGUUGACGUCUGGAGGCAGCAGGGCCUUUGUGUAUACAUGAAGGAAAUGAAGAUCUGGGACAGGAGUGUCUCUGUCCUGACACCCUCCCUCCCAGGGCUCAAGGCUCUUCCCACAUUCUAUCAGUUGGCAAAUGUGUAGGUGGCGGAAUGGAAACAAGUCGGGCUCCGUGUUGGGGAUGUUAGUCCCUGCUCCUCCUGACCAGAGGUGAAGAAACAACACAGCCUUCACAUCAUCCACCAACUGACACCUACAGGAAUGUAACAAGCCGCCGCCCUUCCCAGGCAGGCUUGCUGGU